UACGUAGGGUGCAAGCGUUGUCCGGAAUUAUUGGGCGUAAAGAGCUCGUAGGCGGUUUGUUGCGUCGGCUGUGAAAUCCCGAGGCUCAACCUCGGGUCUGCAGUCGAUACGAGCAAACUAGAGUGUUGCAGGGGAGACUGGAAUUCCUGGUGUAGCGGUGAAAUGCGCAGAUAUUAGGAAGAACACCGGUGGCGAAGGCGGCUCUCUGGAACGGUACUGACGCUGAGACGCGAAAGCGUGGGGAGCGAACAGG
rnacentral:rRNA from 1 species